rnacentral:rRNA from 1 species
AACGAACGCUGGCGGCAGGCUUAACACAUGCAACUCGAACGCCCCUUUCGGGGGGAGUGGCAGACGGGUGAGUAACGCGUGGGAACGUGCCCUUCAGUUCGGAAUAACCCAGGGAAACUUGGGCUAAUACCGGAUACGUGCGAGAGCAGAAAGAUUUAUCGCUGAAGGAUCGGCCCGCGUCUGAUUAGCUGGUUGGUAGGGUAAUGGCCUACCAAGGCGACGAUCAGUAGCUGGUCUGAGAGGAUGAUCAGCCACAUUGGGACUGAGACACGGCCCAAACUCCUACGGGAGGCAGCAGUGGGGAAUAUUGGACAAUGGGCGCAAGCCUGAUCCAGCCAUGCCGCGUGAGUGAUGACGGCCUUAGGGUUGUAAAGCUCUUUCGUCCGGGACGAUAAUGACGGUACCGGAAGAAGAAGCCCCGGCUAACUUCGUGCCAGCCGCCGCAGUAACAC